AUCAAAUGGCAAGAUCCACCACUCCUGUGCUGUUAUUUAUCAGUCUCCACCAAAGAGAAUUAAUUUGCAAGAGACUUCCACUUUCAGCAUCCCAUAAAUUAUACCCAGUUACUGUGAAGUAAUGGGAGGAAAAUUUUAGUGAUUCAUUCAUAUUUUAUGAGAAACAAGACUGAAUUUUAUCCCUUCCUACAUAUCUUCACCCUAAAUCAACUAUUCAUUGUGUCAUUGUUCUUCAAAAUCAUGCAAUUCACAUGCUUUUUUACCGAUCCAGGGAAAAUUUCAAAAUAUAAAUGCCAAAUUUGUUUCCCAUCUUGGAAGUUUGCAAGAAAAGGAGGAAAUAUGAAAAUCAAUAGGGGAGAAAGUGCUUGUGUGAAAGAGGUGCAACACCCCGUGGAUGUCAAAGCCAGGCCCAACCUCUACUCAGAAGACACUGAGGAACCUACACCUGUCAAUUAUGGAAUAAUCAUGGACUAUGGACUAUUAUGAAGACACUAGAUUAUCAAAUAGCUACAUCUGUAUCAGUUGUCUGGGAAGAGGGGAAGAGCUAUAAUAGAGCUGUCUUCAUCCCACAGAUGGAAAUCACAUGUUGAAGAGGGGAGAAUAGCCUGUAUCACCCACCUCUGGAUCAUCAUAUCUUGGGAGAAGGAUGCAAGAUUCAAGAUCUUCUGUGACGAUAUAUCUAAAAACUCCUAUAGACAGACUCAGCAUCAUCUCCUAUAAUAGCAACCAAAAAAGCAAGCAUACACCAACACCUUCUUCAUCAUUCACUCCUCAUUUUUAUCUAUCAGAUUCCAUAAUUAUUUACCUCAUUAUUCUACCUAUCCAGUAGUCACUUUCCCCAGUUAUUUAGUAAAAGAAUUACACUUUUCAUCCUAACCACAUCUUCAACUAGAAUAUGUUCCACAUAAAAUUUUAAAGAUGAUUUUCAAGGAAAGUAAUAAAGUCACACAUUUGAAGGUUGAUGACUAGGCUUUAAAAAAAGAAAUUAGUAAAGUAAGUUGUCUGAAAGUCAAAAAUGUUUGCAACUUACAUACCUGAUGAAUAUAAAAAGAAUUCCUGGUCAGAACUACCAAGGAAUCCUAGAAGCAAUAUGAAACUCAUGCUGUGAAUCUGAAAAGGAAUGUAAAGUAUUAACAAGUACUAUCAAUGUACCAUCAUCACUGCCUAGAAAUAUUUUCCCCUUGCUUCUGAAACAUCAUCCAUUUUUAUCUGGAUUAUAACAGCUCCUCUUCUAUCUCCCUUGUUUUUCUGGCCAGUGGAAUCGAUGAGUCAUUUCACCAUCUGGGCUAGAGGAAAGGGAGAUGUAUGGCUGAAUAAAGCUCAGUAUUAUCUGCGUAAUGAUGGCCCUGCGGUCCAAAAUAUCUCUCUUUCUCAGUGUCCUCAUCCACACUUAGUUUCUCUCCAAAACAAAAUUAGGGGGUAUUCUACAAGAGCAAUUUAUGGCUACUUAUGCCCAGUUCUAAGUCAACAUUUCCAAACUCUUGGUAAUAGGAAGAGUAUGCAACAUUGACUUCUCAAAGGUUUGGUAAUGGCUGUAAAGUUUGGAUUAAAUUAAUUUAGGAAAAUAUAUAGCACCAUAUAUUUUUGAACUGCCAUUCAAAAUUCUAAAUAAUACCACUCCCCAAAAACAAGGUCAACACUUGAAAAGGAAAAUGCCAGUCUUUGCUUAGAGGUAGAGUUAGGGUUGCCCAAAUGCUGUAAGUUUUUAAUUCAUUGUGUGUGUGUGUGUGUGUGUGUGUGUGUGUGUGUGUGUACAUACAUGUAUACUCUGCUAAAUACCAGGGUACAGUGGUGAACAAAGUCGAUAUUUAUCUUGUCUUCAUGGAGUUUAUAGAUGAGUGGGAUCAAAC